UGAACCGUGCUCACGGUACAGAAUUGCAAUUAGGAACGUGUUGACAUUGAAGAUUGAGAUUGAAGACGCACAUCUAUAUAUAUUUCUGGAGCUAGGUAGCUCGUUUGGCAAGAAACAGAUGACCAUGGCCAACUGAAGUACAAAAGCCUAGCUAGAGCUUCUGCAAGAGAUGCCAUGAGUGUUAGAAAAUUGCAAGCAUGAGAACGGUGAAAUCAUAUAGGCUUGGGAAGCAUCGGGAGUGCAUCUGACACAGGAGCAGCGAAGGACUGUGCAGCGGGUGUUGGAGCGAUUUCUGCUGGAAACGUUUCUUGGAGCUGUCACUUGAUUGGCCAGUCUUGCAGGUGCACAUUGUGCACCGGCGUCAUGUCUGAUAGGGAGAAACCGAAUGGACAGUACAAGAACGCAAGGAUUUCGCAGUUCUUCGAUCCAUAUUCGAGAAGCAAUAUGUCAAACUCCAAUUAUGCUGGAGGUUGGGAGUGAAUAGGCAGGAGUAGAAGUUGCAGAGUAAUGUUGAGAUGGAAGGAAGAAGAUGUCAAGACUGUACUAGAGGUGAAGAUGUGAUCCUGCAAGAGUGAUUAGUGUUGUUGUAAACUCUGCUAUUGUUCGUAGCUACGAUCUUGUAGGCCUGAUAUCUUUUGAGCUUUUGGUUGAGAAAUGAUCAUGACUUUCCUGUGCUCUGAUUCU